rnacentral:misc_RNA from 1 species
GUGAAUCAUCGAAUCUUUGAACGCACAUUGCGCCCUUUGGCAUUCCGAGGGGCAUGCCUGUUCGAGCGUCAUUUCACCCCCUCAAGCUUCGGCUUGGUGUUGGGCCGCGCCAUUGCACUGCGCUGGCGGGCCUUAAAAUCAGUGGCGGUGCCGUCGUGGCUCCAAGCGUAGUAGCAUCUCUCUCGCUCUGGAGGCCUGGCGGUUGCUGGCCAGACAACCCCACUAUCUCUCAAUGUUUGACCUCGGAUCAGGUAGGGAUACCCGCUGAACUUAAGCAUAUCAAUAAGCGGAGGA